AUGGCCCCCUCUCCUCCGGCUGCUGCUCCGGCGGCAGGAGGAAGGGGGGACCUGUUCCUCCGCUUUGUAGUUAUGGUUUGGAUUUGUAGGUCGUGGUGCGCCGUUGGGGUGAUGGGAGCGGCGCCCGGACGAAUAAAUCCGCCUCAACUUCCCUCCCACACCGGCGGUGCCCUUCAUGGCGGCGUCUCGGAGUUGAUGGCAUCUUGUGUUUGUCGAUCUUUCAGAUCGGCGGCGUUAAGGUUCAUGGAUGGUGUCGGCGAGGCGGCGGCGGUGGCGACUCCAUCAGGCAAACUACUUUGA
rnacentral:rRNA from 1 species